rnacentral:rRNA from 1 species
CAGUCGCCACGGGAAUACGAAGGGUGCAAGCGUUAAUCGGAAUUACUGGGCGUAAAGCGCGCGUAGGUGGUUCAUUAAGUUGGAUGUGAAAGCCCUGGGCUCAACCUGGGAACUGCAUCCAAAACUGGCGAGCUAGAGUAUGGUAGAGGGUGGUGGAAUUUCCUGUGUAGCGGUGAAAUGCGUAGAUAUAGGAAGGAACAUCAGUGGCGAAGGCGACCACCUGGACUGAUACUGACACUGAGGUGCGAAAGCGUGGGGAGCAAACAGGAUUAGAGACCCCAGUAGUCCCUGUCUCUUAUAA